rnacentral:rRNA from 1 species
UACAGAGGGGGCAAGCGUUGUUCGGAAUUACUGGGCGUAAAGGGCGCGUAGGCGGCCCGCUAAGUCGAACGUGAAAUCCCCUGGGCUCAACCCAGGAACUGCGUCCGAUACUGGCAGGCUUGAAUCCGGGAGAGGGAUGUGGAAUUCCAGGUGUAGCGGUGAAAUGCGUAGAUAUCUGGAGGAACACCGGUGGCGAAGGCGACAUCCUGGACCGGUAUUGACGCUGAGGCGCGAAAGCCAGGGGAGCAAACGGG